rnacentral:rRNA from 1 species
AUGCUGGGCGAGUUCCUCUCCAGGGUCCUCCUGCUGCUGUUCGGGUACGCGAUGCCGGCGUUCGAGUGCUUCAAGACGGUGGAGGCGCGGCCCAACGACGCGCACAUGCUCCGCUUCUGGUGCCAAUACUGGAUCAUAGUGGCCAUGGUGAUAGCCGUCGAGAGCUUCAUCUCAUGGAUGCCGAUGUACGGAGAAAUCAAGCUGGCUUUCUUUGUGUACCUGUGGUACCCCAAGACAAAGGGCAGCGACAUUGUGUACGACACCUUCCUCAGGCCCAUGGUGAUGCAGUACGAGCCGAACAUCGAGCAGAGGCUGCUGCAUCUGAGAGCCAGAUCGGGGCAGCUGCUCACCUUCUAUAUUCAGAACUUCGCUGACAAAGGGACGGCCUUCUUCAUGGAUGUCCUGCGAUCCGUCGUUUCUGACGAACCUGCACCGUCAGUUUCAGAGAGGAACAAGAAGUCGUCCGGGUGGAGCCCCUUCGCCACCAAACGCCGGCCGCCGUCACCUCCGCCACAGGAGUCCAUCUUCGGCGGCCCCGCCGACCUCGACGCCGCCGCAGUGGCCCAGGUUAUCCGCGCUUCCAUGGCCGGCGCCAAGCCGGCCCGUCGACAGUACAGUGGCAAGUACUAA